UUUCAAUGGAAAAUGCCUUAAAAACUAGAAUUUUUACCACUUCACAUAAUGUGUCUUGAAAAUUGUUGUGGUUAUUUGGAGCACACUGACAUUGGUCAGUGUGUCACACUUUUGGAGCUCAGCCUAAGCUUCUGCUGAAAUUUAUCUACAUUAAGGAACCCUCCAAAAUCAGUGCACUUAGUUUUCUAACAUCAACCUAUCAUGACACUAUCUAAAAUCGAAUUCACUGACUUAUAUCCUCAGCAUGGCAAUCAAGAAUUCUUCAAAAUAGUAAGUCAGUUUCAUAACUGCACUGGGGAUAGACCUUUUUCAGGUAAACUAUUUUCAGAAUAUAGUGACAGUGUGUGCACCCUAUCAGGUAUCUUUUUUUCCACUUUCUAGUGUAAUAGGAUAACAAUUCAUUUAAGUAUGGCCAUAGUUGCAAAACUACAUUCAAUUUGCUAAGAAAGAACUACAGGGAAAGUUUGUAACUGUCAUAUGUAUUAUGCUAUUAUGACCUAAAGGUAAAAAUGAUGUCAGCCAAAGGGACAGUUGGGACCAAGAACCAUUAGCUACACAUAGACAAUUCAAAUGCAUUUGUAUGGUAGCCAGUUUAUUUCAGUCUCUAGUCCUUCUACUAUUUUUUCCCAUUUCAUUCUUCCCAUCUUUCCCCACCUACUGCUAUAACUUUUCUUCCAGCAAGUUUUAGGGUUGAAGUUUAAAUGAGCAUCUGCCACAGCACCAAUGCCAACACUAACUGGCCAUCAACCAGCGGGGUACUCUUGCAUGGGAUGCCUGGCUCCACUUCGGAGACUGCGUUUAACCUUUAUGACAUACUCAGAUUCCACCAGCUUGGUGCCUCAAAUCCCAUGUUCCUGUUUCUCUCCAAAUUUUCUGAUCAGAAGCACAUUUUUAGGUACAAUGGGCCAACUGGUGCGCUGCCUCCUCAAGGGUUGUGAAUGACUAAACAAGUCCAGGACAAUCAUGUAUUCUAUCUUACUUGGAAAUUAUAUAACUGGAAGGAGUAUGGAGAAGAGCUUCUGUAACUACACAAGUUCUAGAAAGAGUACUUUGCUGCAAGAUGUUAAAAAUGCAGUGUUAGCUCCUUAAAGGGAAGAUCAAAGCUGAUAUGAUUACAGUGUAUAAACUCCUUCUUGGAGAGACACUUGAGAUACUGAAAUAAGAGAAACAAGCACUACAGGACCAGUGGCAAGAAGUUAAACCCACACAUAUUUAUAUUACACAUAAACAGUCCUCUAGUCAUGGAAAUUAAAAUAGCAAGGGAAAAAGUGUGCCAACAUUUUUACACCAAGUCUGCAUGUCCUUGUAGAAUACAGCUUUCAGCCAAGCAGAUGCUGGCUGCACUGUAAGGGCAGAUAUUAUUGAUGUUAUACAAGAGAUCAAGCUAGCAGGUUUGUGCCUUGUUUUGGAGUCCUUCCAUUUGGACGUACCGGUAACACUAGGGAGUCUGCAGAAGAACCCAGACCAAUUUUCAACAUUAAAUGUCAAGCUGAAAGAUUACUUGAAUUGUUCUAGGGCUACUCCCUUUUGGAAAUUUUUCUGUAGUAUCAAUUCAGUUAAAUUUGCAUUUAUAUUACAGAUGGACUGAUCAAAAAUGUGACUUCUUUGUUUCUUUUUUUUUUUUUUUGGUUUANGCAGCCCCGGCCAGCGGGGAGCCGCCGGCGGAGAAGUUCCUGGAGACGUUUUAAUGCGUGGGGCGGGAGCGUGAUUUUUUUGUUUUUUUUUUUUUUUUUGGUUUAGUAAUUAUGGGCUUUAUCCUUCAGUUAUUACAACCAUGUAAGUCAAGCAAGCAGCUGAACUGGAAACA
ensembl:lncRNA